GUCGGGUACCACUACACCCGAAGGCGCAUUGAACGAGAAGGCCGGCCUCCGCGCCGGCCGAGGGAAGAUGGAGUCUCCCGCGGGGGACUCCCGCAUUCCCGGGGCGUCUCGUCCUACCGCCGCCCGUCGGCGGAAGGUGAGGCGCACCAAGAGCGCGCGCGUUGGGACCCGAAAGAUGGUGAACUAUGCCUGGCCAGGACGAAGUCAGGGGAAACCCUGAUGGAGGUCCGUAGCGAUUCUGACGUGCAAAUCGAUCGUCGGAGCUGGGUAUAGGGGCCGAAAGACUAAUCGAACCAUCUAGUAGCUGGUUCCCUCCGAAGUUUCCCUCAGGAUAGCUGGUGCUCGGAGUCUGAGUCCCAUCCGGUAAAGCGAAUGAUUAGAGGCCUUGGGGUCGAAACGACCUCAACCUAUUCUCAAACUUUAAAUGGGUGGGAACCGCGGCUUGCUUGAAUGUGAAGCCGCGGACCUUGGAU
rnacentral:rRNA from 1 species